CCUACGGGGUGCAGCAGUGGGGAAUAUUGGGCCAUGGGCGCAAGCCUGACCCAGCAACGCCGCGUGAAGGAAGAAGGCUUUCGGGUUGUAAACUUCUUUUGUCAGGGACGAAGCAAGUGACGGUACCUGACGCAUAAGCCACGGCUAACUACGUGCCAGCAGCCGCGGUAAUAAGUAGGUGGCAAGCGGUAUCCGGAUUUACUGGGUGUAAAGGGCGUGGUGGCGGGACUGCAAGACAGAUUUGAAAACCACGGGCUCAACCUGUGGCCUGCAUUUGAAACUGUCGGUCUUGCGUACUGGAGAUGCAGACGGAAUUUCUAGUGUAGCGGUGAACUGCGUAGAUAUUAGGAGGAACACCAGUGGCGAAGGCGGUCUGCUGGACAGCAACUGACGCUGAGGCGCGAAAGCGUGGGGAGCAAACAGGAUUAGAUACCCCAGUAGUC
rnacentral:rRNA from 1 species